CAGUCGAACGAUGAAGCCCUUCGGGGUGGAUUAGUGGCGAACGGGUGAGUAACACGUGGGCAAUCUGCCCUUCACUCUGGGACAAGCCCUGGAAACGGGGUCUAAUACCGGAUAAUACCGGCCUCUGCAUGGGGGCUGGUUAAAAGCUCCGGCGGUGAAGGAUGAGCCCGCGGCCUAUCAGCUUGUUGGUGGGGUAAUGGCCUACCAAGGCGACGACGGGUAGCCGGCCUGAGAGGGCGACCGGCCACACUGGGACUGAGACACGGCCCAGACUCCUACGGGAGGCAGCAGUGGGGAAUAUUGCACAAUGGGCGAAAGCCUGAUGCAGCGACGCCGCGUGAGGGAUGACGGCCUUCGGGUUGUAAACCUCUUUCAGCAGGGAAGAAGCGAAAGUGACGGUACCUGCAGAAGAAGCGCCGGCUAACUACGUGCCAGCAGCCGCGGUAAUACGUAGGGCGCAAGCGUUGUCCGGAAUUAUUGGGCGUAAAGAGCUCGUAGGCGGCUUGUCACGUCGGGUGUGAAAGCCCGGGGCUUAACCCCGGGUCUGCAUCCGAUACGGGCAGGCUAGAGUGUGGUAGGGGAGAUCGGAAUUCCUGGUGUAGCGGUGAAAUGCGCAGAUAUCAGGAGGAACACCGGUGGCGAAGGCGGAUCUCUGGGCCAUUACUGACGCUGAGGAGC
rnacentral:rRNA from 1 species